rnacentral:rRNA from 1 species
UUGCCCCUACGGGGCGCAGCAGUCGAGAAUCAUUCACAAUGGGGGAAACCCUGAUGGCGCGACGCCGCGUGGGGGAAUGAAGGUCUUCGGAUUGUAAACCCCUGUCAUGUGGGAGCAAAUUAAAAAGAUAGUACCACAAGAGGAAGAGACGGCUAACUCUGUGCCAGCAGCCGCGGUAAUACAGAGGUCUCAAGCGUUGUUCGGAAUCACUGGGCGUAAAGCGUGCGUAGGCUGUUUCGUAAGUCGUGUGUGAAAGGCCCGGGCUACACCCGCGGACG